GAUGAACGCUGGCGGCGUGCCUAACACAUGCAAGUCGAACGGAGUUACUUUGGUGAAGUUUUCGGACGGAUCUGAUUUAACUUAGUGGCGGACGGGUGAGUAAUGCGUGAGCAACCUGCCCUUCAGAUGGGGACAACAGCUGGAAACGGCUGCUAAUACCGAAUACGUUCUUUUGUCGCAUGGCAGAGGGAAGAAAGGGGAGGCUCUUCGGAGCUUUCGCUGAAGGAGGGGCUUGCGUCUGAUUAGCUAGUUGGAGGGGUAACGGCCCACCAAGGCGACGAUCAGUAGCCGGUCUGAGAGGAUGAACGGCCACAUUGGGACUGAGACACGGCCCAGACUCCUACGGGAGGCAGCAGUGGGGAAUCUUCGCAAUGGACGAAAGUCUGACGGAGCAACGCCGCGUGAACGAUGACGGCCUCGGUGU
rnacentral:rRNA from 1 species